rnacentral:sRNA from 1 species
GCUGGGUGCAGUGGUGCAUGCCUAUAAUCCCAGCUGCUUGGGAGGCUGAGGCAGGAGUAUCAUGAGUUCACAGCCAGCCUCAGCAAAGGCGGUGAGGUGCUAAGCAACUCAGUGAGACCCUGUCUCUA